rnacentral:rRNA from 1 species
CAGCCGCCACGGGAAUACGGAGGGUGCAAGCGUUAAUCGGAAUUACUGGGCGUAAAGCGCACGCAGGCGGUCUGUCAAGUCAGAUGUGAAAUCCCCGGGCUUAACCUGGGAACUGCAUUUGAAACUGGCAGGCUAGAGUCUUGUAGAGGGGGGUAGAAUUCCAGGUGUAGCGGUGAAAUGCGUAGAGAUCUGGAGGAAUACCGGUGGCGAAGGCGGCCCCUGGACAAAGACUGACGCUCAGGUGCGAAAGCGUGGGGAGCAAACAGGAUUAGAUACCCCGGUAGUCCCUGUCUCUUAUACA